AAUACGGUCACCUGUGGCGACCAAGCAGGAAACAGAUGGGAUGGCAUAAGGAAGGACCAGGGUAAGAACGAACCCUCCUGCCUCAAGAAUUGCCAGGAGAGGAAGAGACAUUAGGGUGCCCACAAACGGAGGGACAACUAUGGGAAGAGGCAGCAAGAAAGCUGCCAUCUGCAAGCCAAGGAGUGGGGCCCCAGGAUCAACCAACCCUGACAGCACCUUGAUCUUGGACUUCCAGCCUCCAGCACUCUGCACGGAUACAUUUCUGUUGUUUAAGCCUCUGGUCUAUGGUGUUUUGUUGUGGCAGCCUUAGUAGAUUAAUACACCACAUAAAGCACUAGAACAGUAUCUGGCAUACAAUACGCAAUAAAUGCUAACUACUACCACCAUCAACAUUCUUUCCCUCCAUUGUAUACUCACACUGUAUUAGUUUCUGAUUGCUGCUAUAACAAGUUACCACAGCUGUACCAGCUUAAACACAAGUUUAUUACCUUAUGGUUCUAGGAGAUCCUAGAACCAUAAAUGUGUGCUGUUUACAUAAGUCAAGAGUCUCCUUGGGCUAAAAUAAAGGUAUCUGCAGUGCUGCAUUUCUUCUGGAGGCUCCAGGGGAGAGUCCAUUUCUUGCCUUUUUCAGCUUCCAGAGGCUGCCUGCAUUCCUUGGCUUAUGGGCGCUUCCUCCGUCUUCAAAGUCAACAGUAUAGCAUCUUCAAAUUUUUCUCUGGCCCUCCUGCCUCUCUAAGGAUCCACAGGAUUAUAUCAGACCCUCCCUGAUUAUCAGGGUAACUUUCCCAUCUUAAGAGCCUUAAUUCAGUGACAUCUGCGAGGGUACUUUUGUCAUUUAGGAUAACAUAUUCAAAGAUUUGGGGGAUUAGGAUGUGUACAUAUUUGGGGAAGCAUUACUCUGUCACACACACAAUGUAUUAUAAAGUGAGAAAAGCAAGCUGUAGGACAAAUGCAUAUAGAUCGAUCUUGUUUAUGUAAAAAAAAUCAAAUAAAUUUCUACAGAGAAAAUAAAUACAGACAGAAUGAAACUGACAAAACUAUUAACCAUGGCAUUUUCUGGGGCUUCACACUGUGCAUUUAAAAACAUUUUUUAUAACAUGCGUCUUGUUCAUUAAUUAUUUUUACGAUUUUUAAAAAUUUUUGGUAAGUAAUCCAAAGAAAAAAAGAAGACACAUGUACUCAUCUUUGUGGGGCCCCGGCUAGAGUCAUCAAAUAAAUCGCCAGUACCAAAAGCUCUCCGUAAGUAUUCUAGGCAGUGUGGGCAGAGCACUG
rnacentral:lncRNA from 10 species